rnacentral:misc_RNA from 1 species
AUUCCCCCAAAAUGGCGUAGAUGGUCAGAAAGAGGCCCAAGAUGGCCCCAAGAUGGCCGCCAAAUGGCCCCCAAUUGCCGAUUGGGCCCGGCGGGGUGCACGAAGCGCUCAGAAUAAACCCUGAUAUCUUGACGUGGAUCACUGAAGCGCGAAUUCUUUGCAAAGCACAUGCGUUGCAUUGUGCAUGUGAUUCUAAUCAUUGGGCCUGCUCUUGCUUUGCAUGGCGCUCGUUGAUGGAAGUUCACGCGCGAGGUUCUCGUGGAAAGGAAUCGGAUUCGUUGGUUCGGCUGCUAAUGAUUUCUUUGCUCGCUGAGCUUUGUUUCUGCCUCGACGGGGCUUCGGUGACGAGGCGUUCGUCGUCUUUCUCACUGUGGCCCCCUCUCGGUGGUGAUGUAAC